rnacentral:rRNA from 1 species
AUUGAACGCUGGCGGCAGGCCUAACACGUGCAAGUCGAGCGGAUGAAGGGAGCUUGCUCCUGGAUUCAGCGGCGGACGGGUGAGUAAUGCCUAGGAAUCUGCCUGGUAGUGGGGGAUAACGUCCGGAAACGGGCGCUAAUACCGCAUACGUCCUGAGGGAGAAAGUGGGGGAUCUUCGGACCUCACGCUAUCAGAUGAGCCUAGGUCGGAUUAGCUAGUUGGUGGGGUAAAGGCCUACCAAGGCGACGAUCCGUAACUGGUCUGAGAGGAUGAUCAGUCACACUGGAACUGAGACACGGUCCAGACUCCUACGGGAGGCAGCAGUGGGGAAUAUUGGACAAUGGGCGAAAGCCUGAUCCAGCCAUGCCGCGUGUGUGAAGAAGGUCUUCGGAUUGUAAAGCACUUUAAGUUGGGAGGAAGGGCAGUAAGUUAAUACCUUGCUGUUUUGACGUUACCAACAGAAUAAGCACCGGCUAACUUCGU